GUCCGGCGCCGCCCCUCCCACGGAUGCGGCCAGCCCCCAAUCCCGGCGCCCCGACGCCGCUCCCCUCCUCCGACGGCCUUCCUUCCUCACGCGCCACACCCUCCCCGCGACGUCGAUCUACUCCCGACGCACCCGCCAACCACGCAGCUCGGAUCUGGCGCACCUCCCUACCGUCAGCGACGCGGCCCCAUACCCGGCGCCGCUCCUCCCUCCCGACGCCGUACCACCGUCCCCAGCUCGCCGCACCACCCGCCCGUCGCCGCUCCCUCCCCAGACUCGCCCCCAACCUCGGCGGCGCACAGCCCUCCCGGCACCGCACCCCCUUCCCGCGCCGCACGAUGCGACGUUGCUAUCCUCCUCCAGGCCGCACCAUCCUCCCGACGGGGCUACUGAAACCGUCUAAGCCCACGCUGCUGUGCGACCUCAUCUUAUUAUCCCGUUCGUUGAUUUGUAAUCGCCCUCUCGGAUGGAGCCUUCUGAUCCUGUGCCCGCCCAGUCAGUAGAUGUUCAAUGAGGUUCGCCGCAAGUCCACUCAUCAAGCAUGGAUACCGGUCAGUGGUUGGUGGAUCGUAUGCCUAGCAACCCGAAGAAAAUGGCAUUUAUUAGCACACAGGAGAGGUUCGAGGUUCCUCUCCGUCCAGAGCUAUGGUCUUCUGUGGUUUCUCCUCCAUGAGUUCCAUGGUACUUGUAACAGAAUGGGCUGAAUGCUUAUUUGAACAAGCACAGAAUUAAGCUUGACCCUUAGCUUGAAGCCCGCGUUGGAAGGUACAAUAUACCAAUAUAUCAUGACUCACCAAGGCUUUGAUGAAAGAUAAUUAUGUAUGUGAAGUCCAUUUACAUCCUUUUUUGGAUGCAUGGAUAGCAGGAAACCGCGGUCGAAGUUUAUGAAUGCGGAUAACCAACACCUAGUAUAUCCUGAGAUGUGGCCUAAUGGCUCUUGCAUUUCAAAUUUACUUAACUAGGAUUGGUAGUUCCUGCCUCUAGCUUGAUUUCUUUGUUUAUCUGUAGGUCAUAGAUUUCCUCGACAAGCUUCUGCGUUAUGAUCACCAGGACAGGCUUACUGCACGUGAAGCAAUGGUGUCUUUAUGCUAAUUUUUGUGUGCGGCAACUCAAAUGAAACUGCCUGCACGCUAGUCUAAACAUCCUGUGUGACAUUUACCAGUCUAGUAUCACUGAAACAAAAGGUCUCCAGAUUCUCAGUUGUGAAUAGUAUUUUUGGCUGAGCAUUUUGGUUUCUGAGCCAGAUCUUUUGCAUGCAAAUUUAUAAGACCCAACAGAUUUAAUUUAUUUAUGCUGCAUAGUAUUUCCUCUUGAUAAUCUAUUAAUGUUGCCAAGUCUAUCUCAUCUUGUACCGGAUACUUAUAUUCUUGUAGGUGCACCCAUAGUUCCAGCAAGUGAGAGCUGCAGAGAAGGACGCGCGCAUAACAGGCAAGGGCAGAGACAUGCUAACGGAAUCAUCAGAUGGGCUUCAUCAAUCUUCAGUUGUAUAAUAGCGGUUGGGUCACUUGAUGGAAACAAAAGAUUACGAGGGAGCUUCUGCUGUAGCCUGUCUUUAACUGCAUUGACAAGGAAUGCAAAUUUAUUUAGAUUAUGAGCUUGAGAUGUGAUUGUGAACAUUAUUUUCAUGUAAGGUGUUUGCCAUAAAAGGGUAUGUUGGCAGAUUGUACUAUAUUAUUGAGCUUGUAAAGAAUUACCAACCUUUUGUUUGGACCC